rnacentral:rRNA from 1 species
UGAAGAGAGGAGCUUGCUCUUCUUGGAUGAGUUGCGAACGGGUGAGUAACGCGUAGGUAACCUGCCUUGUAGCGGGGGAUAACUAUUGGAAACGAUAGCUAAUACCGCAUAACAAUGGAUGACACAUGUCAUUUAUUUGAAAGGGGCAAUUGCUCCACUACAAGAUGGACCUGCGUUGUAUUAGCUAGUAGGUGAGGUAAUGGCUCACCUAGGCGACGAUACAUAGCCGACCUGAGAGGGUGAUCGGCCACACUGGGACUGAGACACGGCCCAGACUCCUACGGGAGGCAGCAGUAGGGAAUCUUCGGCAAUGGGGGCAACCCUGACCGAGCAACGCCGCGUGAGUGAAGAAGGUUUUCGGAUCGUAAAGCUCUGUUGUAAGUCAAGAACGGGUGUGAGAGUGGAAAGUUCACACUGUGACGGUAGCUUACCAGAAAGGGACGGCUAACUACGUGCCAGCAGCCGCGGUAAUACGUAGGUCCCGAGCGUUGUCCGGAUUUAUUGGGCGUAAAGCGAGCGCAGGCGGUUUGAUAAGUCUGAAGUUAAAGGCUGUGGCUCAACCAUAGUUCGCUUUGGAAACUGUCAAACUUGAGUGCAGAAGGGGAGAGUGGAAUUCCAUGUGUAGCGGUGAAAUGCGUAGAUAUAUGGAGGAACACCGGUGGCGAAAGCGGCUCUCUGGUCUGUAACUGACGCUGAGGCUCGAAAGCGUGGGGAGCGAACAGGAUUAGAUACCCUGGUAGUCCACGCCGUAAACGAUGAGUGCUAGGUGUUGGAUCCUUUCCGGGAUUCAGUGCCGCAGCUAACGCAUUAAGCACUCCGCCUGGGGAGUACGACCGCAAGGUUGAAACUCAAAGGAAUUGACGGGGGCCCGCACAAGCGGUGGAGCAUGUGGUUUAAUUCGAAGCAACGCGAAGAACCUUACCAGGUCUUGACAUCCCGAUGCUAUUUCUAGAGAUAGAAAGUUACUUCGGUACAUCGGUGACAGGUGGUGCAUGGUUGUCGUCAGCUCGUGUCGUGAGAUGUUGGGUUAAGUCCCGCAACGAGCGCAACCCCUAUUGUUAGUUGCCAUCAUUCAGUUGGGCACUCUAGCGAGACUGCCGGUAAUAAACCGGAGGAAGGUGGGGAUGACGUCAAAUCAUCAUGCCCCUUAUGACCUGGGCUACACACGUGCUACAAUGGUUGGUACAACGAGUUGCGAGUCGGUGACGGCGAGCUAAUCUCUUAAAGCCAAUCUCAGUUCGGAUUGUAGGCUGCAACUCGCCUACAUGAAGUCGGAAUCGCUAGUAAUCGCGGAUCAGCACGCCGCGGUGAAUACGUUCCCGGGCCUUGUACACACCGCCCGUCACACCACGAGAGUUUGUAACACCCGAAGUCGGUGAGGUAACC